UUUUAUAUUGCUUGUUUAUCUGACGGUACAAAUUUGGAGGUAGAACUCCGGCGAGCCCGCGCCGGCAGAAUUGAUCUUCCGCCAACGGCUGUUUCCAACGUCUCGCCGAAGCAACGUCGAAUGGUCAAGGGUGGGAGUUCCUGAAGCAGGAAAACUCGGUAAUGAUCCUUCCGCAGGUUCACCUACGGAAA
rnacentral:misc_RNA from 1 species